AUUGAACGCUGGCGGCAUGCCUUACACAUGCAAGUCGAACGGCGGCACGGGGCAACCUGGUGGCGAGUGGCGAACGGGUGAGUAAUGCAUCGGAACGUACCUUUCAGUGGGGGAUAACGUAGCGAAAGUUACGCUAAUACCGCAUAUUCUGUGAGCAGGAAAGCAGGGGAUCGCAAGACCUUGCGCUGAUUGAGCGGCCGAUGUCAGAUUAGCUAGUUGGUGAGGUAAAGGCUCACCAAGGCGACGAUCUGUAGCGGGUCUGAGAGGAUGAUCCGCCACACUGGAACUGAGACAUGGUCCAGACUCCUACGGGAGGCAGCAGUGGGGAAUUUUGGACAAUGGGGGCAACCCUGAUCCAGCCAUGCCGCGUGAGUGAAGAAGGCCUUUGGGUUGUAAAGCUCUUUCGGCCGGGAAAAAAUCGCAUGGGUUAAUACCCUGUGUGGAUGAUGGUACCGGAAUAAGAAGCACCGGCUAACUACGUGCCAGCAGCCGCAGUAAAAC
rnacentral:rRNA from 1 species